GACUGAGCCCACAACCUGCUAUGUGCCCUGACCAGUAAUGGAACUGCGAUCUCCUGGAUCAUAAGCCGAUGCCCAUCUACCAAGCCACACCGGUGGGGCCCUUACUGCUUUUCAAUUACUGCAUGAAACUUUGAAAAGUCUGAAAGCGUGAAACUUUUAGUUCAUGGAAGCAGAUGUUACCUGGAUGUCUACCAUUGAAAGCCCUUCUUGUGAGGUCAGGGAUGACAAAUGCAUGGAAGACGCCCAGAGCACCAACUAUCUAUUAAACCCUCUUCACCACUGAGCCCAGUUUGGCGGAGAAUGAUUCAGAAUGAAGGUGACUAACAGUGAGUCACCUGCCACUUCCUGCAUUACCUGGACUUUUUUGGAAGCCUUCCACCAAAUACUGGAUAGAGCAGCCCAGCCAUAUCCACCUUGUGACAGUUGACAACAUUGUGCUUUGAGGCAGAUUUGAGCCAGAUCAGCUUCUGAGAAGGGCAGAUUCUCAAUUUAAUAAUGCAGAACUUCCCCCGCAAUAAAACCAUGACUUGUUACUGAAUGUGUAUUAAAGAAGCAGAGAAAGAUGGUCAGUGAAAAAAGCGGACUGACAUUUCUAAAUACUACUUCGGCACGGCUUAUGGAGAAGCUACUGCUCUACCAAGACCAUAAAAGCAGAGAACUAAUGCUCCUUGUCCGUUGCUGCUUCUCAAGCUCUAGGAUAAUGCCUGGCACCUAAUCAAGGUUCAAGACAAAUUUUUACUUGGAGAGAGUGUAGCCAGCAUCACAGAGGGAAGCAGAGCCUGAGACAGAGAGAACUGAUGACAAGACUUGAACCCGAUCCAGCUACAUCUGAAGCCAGAACACCCCUGGACUUCCACUUUGCAAGGCCAAUACAUCCCUCUCCAUUUUUUUGGAACCAGAAAGAACAGGUGUUGAUCUACUAGCAAGGGAAGGAUGUCUCAUGAGUGUGGUCAGCACUUAACCACCACCUGCAGGUUCAGCCCCAGCCCAGGCUUGAGAACCAAUCCUUCCUCUGUGGGAAGGGCUUAAAGACCUGCAGUUCAGUGCUGAGGGGGAUUCAACAUCAACCAUGGUUCCUGCUGGACCUGAUGGCUCA